CUGCCCGGACCGCCCGAACCGCCGCGGGGCGACGGGCCCGAGCCCUGGAUUCGCGCCGCGGAUUCGCCUUGGCUCGGCCGCGCGUAUGCUUCCCUUCCUCCAUGAUCUCCAACACUGAUAAAGUAGAAGCAACUGAGGUACCGUGAAAGAGAAAAGGAACUGGAACUAAGAAAAAGCAAGAGAGCACCCUGAGAUGGUAUGACAAGAGAUUUGACAUAAUUGGAGCUAUCAAGGAAGACGUCUGUUACAAAGUGACAUUUUAGCAACUUUAAGGAGCAGGAUUUGGCCAAAUGAAGAGUGGAGGGUGGGGUGUUCCAUACAGAGGAACAGCAUGUGAGAAGGCUCUGACAGAAAAGAGCUUGGGGGAGUCUCAGAAAGUGGAAGGCCAAUGUGGGAGACAAAGAGGAGCCUGGAAGAGGCAAAUCUUACCUUGUGGACCAUGGUAAGAGUUUCUUCAUCUUAAGAGAAGGAGGAUGCCUUCAAAGACUUUAAAUAGGGGAACUUUAAAAACUUGCCCUCGGGCUGGGUGCGGUGGCUCAUGCCUGUAAUCCUAGCACUCUGGGAGGUCG